rnacentral:rRNA from 1 species
UACGGAGGAUGCGAGCGUUAUCCGGAUUUAUUGGGUUUAAAGGGUGCGCAGGCGGAAUGUCAAGUCAGCGGUAAAAUUUCGGGGCUCAACCCCGUCGUGCCGUUGAAACUGGCGUUCUUGAGUGAGCGAGAAGUAUGCGGAAUGCGUGGUGUAGCGGUGAAAUGCUUAGAUAUAACUUAGAACUCCGAUAGCGAAGGCAGCUUACCAGACUGCGACUGACGCUGAAGCACGAGAGCGUGGGUAGCGAACAGG